CCUACGGGCGGCAGCAGUGGGGAAUAUUGGACAAUGGGCGAAAGCCUGAUCCAGCCAUGCCGCGUGUGUGAAGAAGGCAUUCGGGUUGUAAAGCACUUUCAGUGGGGAAGAAAGCCUUGGGGCUAAUACCCUCGAGGAAGGACAUCACCCACAGAAGAAGCACCGGCUAACUCCGUGCCAGCAGCCGCGGUAAUACGGAGGGUGCGAGCGUUAAUCGGAAUUACUGGGCGUAAAGCGCGCGUAGGCGGUCUGAUAAGCCGGUUGUGAAAGCCCCGGGCUCAACCUGGGAACGGCAUCCGGAACUGUCAGGCUAGAGUGCAGGAGAGGAAGGUAGAAUUCCCGGUGUAGCGGUGAAAUGCGUAGAGAUCGGGAGGAAUACCAGUGGCGAAGGCGGCCUUCUGGACUGACACUGACGCUGAGGUGCGAAAGCGUGGGUAGCAAACAGGAUUAGAUACCCUAGUAGUC
rnacentral:rRNA from 1 species